GAAGUUCUACAAUAAUUAAUAGUAUUUCUAAUCUUCAAUGAAGUGAUGAUUAUGUUGAAGCUUGGAGUUAGUUAAAAAUAUCAAUUCAGCCCUUGAUAAGUUGUAUCUAAAGUUAGUUAGUUUGUUGUUUAUGUUAUUUUUCAGUUAGAAGGACCAAUCUGCAAGUUAGUUUUGUAGAACUAGUGCAGAGUCCCUAUGUUGGCUGUAUAAAAGGUGAAACAGUUGUCUCUAUGGUCGGUGUGUGUGAUCUUUCUGUUCAAUUACAUGAUUAGAUCUCUUAUUCGCUCUUUUCCUCCUUUGUCUUCAUCAUUCAAGACUCAAUUUUGGUUUCUAGUUUGAGGAUGCUGUAAGCAUCGGGUCUAUUAGUGGUAUCAAGAGCUUAUGGUUCCAAUAAUCUUGGGAGAGUCUUGUUUGGUUCCUAUGUGGGAUCCUCAAAGCUUCAUUGUUGUAGAGAUGAAUGGGAACGGGCUUCCAACGCAUCUAUCAAUCCUUGAUGAGAAGAACUAUGAUGCAUGGUGCAUUCAAAUGAAAGUCAUCUUUAGAAUGCAGGAUGCUCUUGAGUCUGUUAUGAUAGGACUUUAAGAAUUGGAGAAAGAUGCAGGGGAAGAACAAAAAAUUAUGUUCAGAGAAUCCAAGAAAAUGGAUUGUAAGGCUCUCUUCCUUAUUCACCAGUGUGUGGAUCCUCAAAACUUUGCCAAGAUUGCCUCAGCUACAUCAACUAAGCAAGCUUGGGACAUUCUUGCAAAGGUCUACGCUGGGUCAAAUAGGUUGAAAAGAGUCAAGAUGCAAACCUUGAAACGACAAUUCGAGCUACUACAGAUGAAUGAGAAAGAAGGUAUAGCUGAAUACCUAAAUUGUGUGCAGAGUCUGUCAAAUCAGAUGAUGGCUUGUGGUGAAAUCUUGAAGGAUCAAGAUCUUGUGGUAAAGGUUUUAAGAACCUUGAGUUCAAGAUUUGAUUAUGUGGUCGCUGCAAUAGAAGAAUCUAAGGAUUUUACAGAAAUGAAAUUGGAUGAGCUUCAAUGCUCUCUUAAAGCACACAAGAAAAGAAUCAAAGAGAGGGAAAUAGAUAGGUCAUCUGAACAGACCUUACUUACUCAGAGUGGAAGGAGAUACAAAAAUGGCUCAAGCAGUAGUAAAAGGAAGGUUAAACCAAAAAGCCAUAAAUCGAAAGGAACAAGAAAGGAUGGCACUGAAGAUUCAAGUGCUGAUGAAACCAAUCAUGAUGAUAGUGGGUCACAAGUAAGGCAGAAGGGCUUUGAAUAUAGCGGUAAGAGUGGUAACUCCAGAAGAAAACAUAUUCAAUGUUGGUAUUGCAGAGAAUGGGGUCAUUUUGCAACUUAGUGCAAAGCCAUGAAGACACAAAAGACAAGAGAUGAUCAAGCACAACUGGUUCAGGAGAGUGACUUAAAGGAUGAUCAAGUUCUUUUGAUGGUGACAAAUGAUUCAGGCAAGGCUACCAACAAUGAAUGGUACCUAGAUACAAGGCGCUCAAAUCACAUGACUGGGAGGAAAGACUGGCUGAUUGAUCUGGAUGAUUCUGUAAAAAAAAAUGUCAGGUUUGCAGAUAACAGCACAGUCAAGGCAGAAUGUCUUGGGAGGGUGUUGAUCCACAGAAAAAAUGGUAAAAGGUCCUUGAUCAAUGAAGUCCUUUAUGUACCUACCAUGCACAACAACUUUUGA
rnacentral:lncRNA from 1 species